rnacentral:rRNA from 1 species
AACGUACGCUGGCGGCACGCCUAACACAUGCAAGUCGAACGAAGUAGCAAUACUUAGUGGCAGACGGGUGAGUAACAUGUAGGUAUCUGCCCUUUGGCCUGGAAUAACACGAGGAAACUUGUGCUAAUACCGGAUAAGUCUUUACGGAGAAAGCUUUAUGCACCAUUGGAUGAGCCUGCACUUGAUUAGUUUGUUGGUGGGGUAAUGGCCUACCAAGACUGUGAUCAAUAGCUGAUUUGAGAGGAUGAUCAGCCACAUUGGGACUGAGACACGGCCCAAACUCCUACGGGAGGCAGCAGUGGGGAAUCUUGCACAAUGGAGGAAACUCUGAUGCAGCGAUGCCGCGUGAGUGAAGAAGGCCCUUGGGUUGUAAAGCUCUUUCGUCGGGGAAGAAAAUGACUGUACCCGAAUAAGAAGGUCCGGCUAACUUCGUGCCAGCAGCCGCGGUAAUACGAAGGGACCUAGCGUAGUUCGGAAUUACUGGGCUUAAAGAGUUCGUAGGUGGUUGAAAAAGUUAGUGGUGAAAUCCCAGAGCUUAACUCUGGAACUGCCAUUAAAACUUUUCAGCUAGAGUAUGAUAGAGGAAAGCAGAAUUUCUAGUGUAGAGGUGAAAUUCGUAGAUAUUAGAAAGAAUACCAAUUGCGAAGGCAGCUUUCUGGAUCAUUACUGACACUGAGGAACGAAAGCAUGGGUAGCGAAGAGGAUUAGAUACCCUCGUAGUCCAUGCCGUAAACGAUGUGUGUUAGACGUUGGAAAUUUAUUUUCAGUGUCGCAGGGAAACCGAUAAACACACCGCCUGGGGAGUACGACCGCAAGGUUAAAACUCAAAUGAAUUGACGGGGACCCGCACAAGUAGUGGAGCAUGUGGUUUAAUUCGAAGAUACGCGCAGAACCUUACCAACACUUGACAUGUUCGUCGCGACUCUAAGAGAUUAGAGUUUUCGGUUCGGCCGGACGAAACACAGGUGCUGCAUGGCUGUCGUCAGCUCGUGUCGUGAGAUGUUGGGUUAAGUCCCGCAACGAGCGCAACCCUCACUUUUAGUUGCCAUCAUUAAGUUGGGCACUCUGAAAGAACUGCCAGUGAUAAGCUGGAGGAAGGUGGGGAUGACGUCAAGUCCUCAUGGCCCUUACGUGUUGGGCUACACACGUGCUACAAUGGUAUCUACAACAGGAAGCAAGACUGCGAAGUUAAGCAAAUCCCUAAAAGAUACCUCAGUUCGGAUUGCACUCUGCAACUCGAGUGCAUUAAGCUGGAAUUACUAGUAAUCGUGGAUCAGCGUGCCACGGUGAAUGCGUUCCCGGGUCU